GACGUAGGGCGCGAGCGUUGUCCGGAUUUAUUGGGCGUAAAGAGCUCGUAGGCGGUUUGUCGCGUCUGCUGUGAAAACUGGAGGCUCAACCUCCAGCCUGCAGUGGGUACGGGCAGACUGGAGUGCGGUAGGGGAGAAUGGAAUUCCUGGUGUAGCGGUGGAAUGCGCAGAUAUCAGGAGGAACACCGAUGGCGAAGGCGGGUUGCUGGGCCGACACUGACGCUGAGGCGCGAAAGCCAGGGGAGCGAACGGG
rnacentral:rRNA from 1 species